CCUACGGGAGGCAGCAGUCGAGAAUCAUUCACAAUGGGGGAAACCCUGAUGGUGCGACGCCGCGUGGGGGAAUGAAGGUCUUCGGAUUGUAAACCCCUGUCAUGUGGGAGCAAAUUAAAAAGAUAGUACCACAAGAGGAAGAGACGGCUAACUCUGUGCCAGCAGCCGCGGUAAUACAGAGGUCUCAAGCGUUGUUCGGAAUCACUGGGCGUAAGGCGUGCGUAGGCUGUUUCGUAAGUCGUGUGUGAAAGGCGCGGGCUCAACCCGCGGACGGCACAUGAUACUGCGAGACUAGAGUAAUGGAGGGGGAACCGGAAUUCUCGGUGUAGCAGUGAAAUGCGUAGAUAUCGAGAGGAACACUCGUGGCGAAGGAGGGUUCCUGGACAUUAACUGACGCUGAGGCACGAAGGCCAGGGGAGCGAAAGGGAUUAGAUACCCCGGUAGUC
rnacentral:rRNA from 1 species